GAUCUUUGUUGCUCCAAAAGCCAGUCUGACAGAAACUUAAGGAUCCUCCCUCUUCAGGUCUUUGUACCUCACAACUUCUGCAUCUGCAGACCUUUGACCCCUGGGUUCAAUGCUACCAUGCACCCUCUUCUGCAGCUGGUCAGAUGGCCCGAGGGCACCCCGAGAACGCUCAGGAAACCCAGGAGUGGGAUAGCAGCUUCCCCCUACACACAGCCAGGCAGGGGCUGACUCAGACCUGAAGUCCACAUCCCCUUUCACCACUCUGGGAGCUAUUACCACCUGUCCAUCAGCGGCAUCAAGGAGCCAGGAACGAUGACCUGGACAGUCCAGACUGUGGGAAGAGGUCCCCACUUUGAAGAAGAAAAACCAAGAAGGAAGGAAGGUUCAUAGGGUCUGUGAUCUCAGUGCAGCCUGGCCUUCCCCACUUGCUAAAGCCUGAAAAUGAAUAGAAAUUGAAUUUUAGUGUUUGGCAUUCCUUACCUGUUCAGAAUGUCCUAAAUAGAUUAGCAUACUUAAGGCUCUUAAUAAUAGUUAGUUGUUCAAGGAAUAUACUAUUUCACUGAGAGGAAAAUGCAAAACCCAAGAGGGGCCAAAUGAUGCCUUAAAGCCACGUCUGUAUGCAGCAGAACUAGAUCCCAGCUUGGUGCUGGCUACGGAGAGUCCUGAGCAAAGAUGGAGGUGUGUAGCUAGAGCUGGGAGGAGAAUCAUUAUCUAUCAUGGAGACAAGCCAGUCAUGUCUCUAUAUCCAUUCUGCUGCUAGCUGGCUGUGCCACAGUCUCUCUUGGCCUCAAGGUCCUUGUCUAUCAACAGGAAGAUGAGACAGAGGUUAUGAUCUAUAUCUCUAGAUAAUAGAUAAUGUCUCUGAGGUCCCUUCUAUUUCCAAGUCCAUGAGUUUGGUAGUUGAGAUUAUUUAUUUGGAAGAAGGACUGAUACCUCCAGGCUAUUUGCUUGGAGUUCAUAAUUCUAGCAUCUCAGAGAACAGAACUGAACUUGAUAUUCGGACUCAGCUUAGAAUCCUGACUGCUUGUAUAUUUGGUUUCCAGAGUGGGCCCCACAUACAAGGUCCUGACCAUUCUAUGUCAUUCCUAGAUGCCCCUCCAUUCUCAGCCUCAUGGGUUCACCCUGUAGAUGACACUUGGGGCUGUUAACAACAAAAUGCCAUAGCAGGUGGUGUGCGCCAUAUCUGUGAGAUCUCAUUAAAUCUUCACCAUAGUCC